GGGGUAGGAGGACAGUGAGCACCUGAAGCCCCACCAGGUUAAUAUUGACCUUCCUUGCAAUCUGUAACGUUUGUUCCCAAUGGGGUCGGUUCGGUGGCCUCAAAGGAUACUUCUGGGUUAUCAAAAGGUACUGGAAGAUUGAAGCUAAAUCCGUAGGGUGGAGACAACCAAGCUUGGGAGCAAAUAAGGAAACGAAACGCGCUGGCUCAGUCUUCACGGCGCCAAAAGCAUAACGGGGACUUUCUACAAGGGGAUUGCACAAUAUUUAUCCGUCGGUUGUGACGACCGUCUAUGUAGCAACAACCGAAUGGUUCUCGUUGGUGCAGUAAUUUGAUUUAAAGCCACAUGCUCAGACUCGGGGGGGGGGGGGGGCAUUCCUGAAAGAUCCCACAAAUUGUCAUUGGACGUGAAAGACGGCCGGAUACUCGAUCUAUUCUUUUAAAGGAAGCCGAGAGCAAAUAAAGUCAAUUCAUGUUAACGAGGAA